CUCGGCAACGGAUAUCUCGGCUCUCGCAUCGAUGAAGAACGUAGCGAAGUGCGAUACUUGGUGUGAAUUGCAGAAUCCCGUGAACCAUCGAGUCUUUGAACGCAAGUUGCGCCCGAGGCCAUUAGGCUGAGGGCACGUCUGCCUGGGCGUCACGC
rnacentral:rRNA from 1 species